rnacentral:lncRNA from 1 species
CCGCACCCCUGAACGCUUGGCAGGCAGCGGGUGUGCAUGCUCUGUCUUCCUUAGCAUCAUUAAGUUUUAUGCUUGCUGGACGAAUGAUCUCCUAAAAGAGCUUAGUAUGGCACCAGUGACCACUGUGGUCUCUUUUUAAAAGAUGAUUCAUGCAUUAUAUCUAGACUUUUCCCAUCUUUUCUCCUCCUACAGAGACAGGAAAACUAAGAAGUCUUGGAAAUGGCCAUGGAGCUCAUAUUUAACUUGCAAAAAGCCGUGUGCAGAUUCUCUACCUAUAAAAUGGCCUGGAUAUAAUCUACUUCAGAAGACUGGUCACAGGCAUAAUCAAGUGAUGUCUGCAAAAUGCUUUCUGAUCCAUACAUUUUUUUUUCUUACAAGAUGAUUCUCUUCUGAAGUGAAGUUCCUGAAAACAGCUCACAGGUUCCUAUGCAGAGAACUCACCAGUUUGUCAUUAUUAUUUUCACCAGGCAGGGAGGAGAAUUAGCCUAAUUUUACAGUGUUCAGUGAGUCAAAAACACUUAGAGGUCACCUUUGGGUAUGGAAGCCUAAACAACAUGGUUCUGCCAGACCAAGGGGCUUAAAAACUAAGAAGAUUUUACAGACUUUGAUAUUAUUGCUUCUAUUUUCUGCUUCCUUUAGCAUCUUCUUGGAAGAUGGGAAUCCAGACUUUUUUUUACUUUUAUUAAAUCAAGAUCUUAAUCAGCAAGACAGAAGAAUGGGGCCACAUGUUGGCUGCCAGACAAUGUAGUAAGAUGUUUUCAGUGGCAGCAUAAUUUAUUUUAUUUUAAAUUACAGAGACAAAAAUAUCACAUUGAUAUUCUGUCUGCAGUGGGGCUUGUUAUUUCUGCACUGAACUGGAACGAACCUAAGUAGAGAAAUUUAAUCAAAUCUGAUAUUCCUGGUUUGCUCCCCACUGGCUCCGGGGGUUUGUAAYGUAGAAGAUGAGGCAGUACAGACCUGCUCUCAUGCUGUAACAGCUCUCCUUGGACUGGCUUCUGACGCUCCUCUGACAGGCAGGACAGUCAUUAUAUCCAAACCUAGAGGAACUGAUGAGGCAAGUUAAAUGGAGAUGCUAAGCUUUUCCCUGACCUGUCCUUUCCCUGGUAGGCUAAGCUCCGAGAGCAGCCUGGUUAUUUCAUUCUGGGGACAUUCCCCAAGUCACUCUCCCACACAGGAAAUACAUUUUCUUUCUUCCCUGUAUUUGAGUGCUGCUGUUCCCACAGUCUGCUAGCUAACCCAACUGACUUAUUAAUGAUUCACUGGCAAAAAACAAUCAAGCAAACAGUUUCACUGGCACUGGUGAUAAGACUGCCUUGUGUUUAGCUCCGGUUCUAAAGUCAGCCAAAUCAAAACCUCUGCAAACCAGGAAGGGAAGAGGCUAG